GGAACCUAUUGGAGGCUUUAUUAAAUAGACUGCAGAUUUCACUCAAUCCAACGCCUCAUUUUACAGAUGAGGAAGCUAAAGCCUAGGAAAACUAAGUGACUUGUCCAAGGCCAUUUAGAGAGAAAACAUCAAGGGUUUGAACCCAUGUCCUCUGAUCCCAGGGGCAGUACUCUAUAUGGUACGAUACUCUCUCUGACUUGUUUGCUGAGUGUGUCCAUUAAAUGCAACCACAUACAUCCAUGGUUGAUUGAGGGGACUGCUCCCAUUCAUAUCUUGAAUGUUUCACCCUUGCUCUGAGUAGUAAGCAAAUCCCUCCCUGUGUACUGAGGUGGAGAAAGACAAGCCACACCUAACGUGCAGAAGGAACUCAAGAGUCCUCAGUCCCACAGGCGCUCUACCCUAACAAACCAGAAACCUGGCCUUCAGAGAUGUCUCACUCCUGCCCUGAUGCCAUCGUGGAAACCAGACUUCUCAGCUGUGUGGCCAUUUGCCUCUUGGGAGCAGGUUUGACAGAUGGCAUCGUUCUCCAGACCCCAAGAUACUUGGUCACAGACACAGGACAAGCAGUGGCACUGAGGUGUGACCAGGACAAGAAUUAUGAUUAUAUGUACUGGUACCAACAGAAACCAGGACAAGAGCCAAAGCAACUUCUCUACUACUUUAAGUUGUCAGAUAUGAAAAAAGAAGAGGGUAUCUCUUAUAACUUCCAAGCCAACCGGACAAACAUUAACCUCUGUUACCUUAGUAUCAGUUCCCUGAGUUUGGGCGAUUCAGCUAUAUACCUCUGUGCUAUCAGCAUGCACAGUGCUAUAGAGUCACCUCCUUUUUGGGCUUAAACUCCACUCUUAAUCCAUGCCCAACAACUCAGUCUUGUAAGGAGCCUUAUCUAUGCUGCUUGGAUAGGAAGUUGGUUUGUGGUUACAGUAGCCUUCUUUGUAGAAAGAAGUUGUGCAUUAACCCCUAAAAGCAUGGGUGAGUCAUUCAGAGCAUAUUUAAUAGAGGACCAGGCAUUGAUCCAAAAGUGACUAUUGGUGAGGUCAGUUUAAGCUUUGGUAUCCAUGAGUAUAGUGAUCGAGAAUUGCUGGAGGUCUGAGCCGGGCAGCUAGGUGGUGCAAUGGAUAG